AAGAUGGUGAAUUUCAUGUUCUGUGUAUUUCACCACAAGUUUUUGAAAAGAGAGACAGAAAAGUAUUCUCUCGCUUGAAGACCUCAGAAGCCCCUUGGGAACAAUCCAGGAAUGAUCCACUUACUGGCUUAAAAAGAUGAGGAGUGUCCUGAAAAGUGCAGCGUCCUUGAAGUUCUUGAUUCGAUGAGGCUGGUGGGAAGGUCUUGUUUUGAUGAUUCACUUUUCGUUUAAUUCUUCUCACCGGCCUCUGCCCUUAAGGAACGAAGAGAGAAUUCUAUCCACCUGCCAGGCUGCCGUCCCACAAGGCUCUGGGCGAGAGGUUUAAAUGAAGUCUUAGUGCAAUUCCCAAGGGAGGGGGGGGUUCUGUCUGGAUGGGGGCCGAAGUGGGGACAAAGCCUGGGUCUGCGGGUCCCGCGGCCGUUCAGUCUUUCCUGGUUUCCUCCCAGCUUGGGGUAUAUGAGCCGGGGAGGGAGGGAGUUUUCUCGAAGGCCAUAGAAAGGCUGAAACACAAGCCGAGUUUCCAACUGAAAAGCCAGAACCCUUGCUCACUCUCAGCGUUUUUCACCUUCUCUGGCAGCAUCGCUCUUACUUAGUUAACUCCUGCGGGACCACGUGGGGAUCAGGGUCCAGGAGCCGGGCUGCCACUCCGGGCUCUGGGGCUCACUCCCUGUGUGUAUCCGUCAACUUCUGCUGUGUGACAACCAUCCCAGCCCUCAGUGCUCCAACAGCAGCUGCUACGAGCUCAUGAUCCUGUGGUCAGCUAUGGAGGUGCUGCCUGGCCUGAGGGAACGCUCACCCACACGUCUAUCGCCCAGGGUGGCAGGGGAGGGAUGGGAGAUAACAUUCAGACACCCGGUUCCAUUUGAAAAUCAGGCCAAUGAUGAAUGACUUUUCCAGUAUAAGCAUAUCCCGUGCAAUAUUUGGGACAUCUUUACGCUAAAUAAAAAUCACUCAUUGUCUCUUUGAAGGUCAAAUGUAAGUGGACGUCCUGGGUUUGUAUUGGCUGAAUCUGGCCACCCUGGACAGGGCGCCACGGCCGGAUCUCGGUCAGACUGGCGGGCUCAUCCCCAAGGUGCUCACAGGAGCCCCGGGCACAGCAGGAGAGGCAGGUUCCAAAGCACUAGCAUUAGCAUGAUGCUUGUGUCACACUGGCCGCUGUCCCUCUGGCGACGCCACGGGUGUGACCAGCCCUGAGUCAGGACAGAUGGGGACUGCAAGGCUGGGUGGCCACGGGCACUUCCUCCACCUGGAGGGGCAGGUGGACCCUACGUCAGUCACGCUGCCCCUUGGAGGUGACGGGCUGUACGUACUGGGCUGGAAGAUGUGCAGACACCCACUUAGCGGCUACAGGGCCAGCUGUGACACUUGGGGCCCCAACGGUGCUCCUGGACAAGCAGGCUCGUGUAUGAGGGAGAAAGCGGCGGCGCCUCCGUGCCUGACAUCCAGCGGAAGUGUCCUCACAGAGUAUGGGGCACCCAGUGCCCUCCCGGGAAAGAGGCAGGUCCUGCCCUAGUAUAGGGGGAAUCCAUCAAAGGCCCUGAUUGUUGAGGGGACAAUGUCCAAGGCAAAAGUCACAGAGAAUCCCCCCUACUGUCUUAGGUCACAAAUGUGCCCACGUUCAUAAAGGCAGGUCAAAAAUAGCACACGUGGACUUCCCUGGUGGCACAGUGGUUAAGAAUCUGCCUGGCAAUGCAGGGGACACGGGUUCGAGCCCUGGUCCGGGAAUAUCCCACAUGCCGUGGAGCAACUAAGCCCGUGCGUCACAACUAGUGAGCCUGCUCUCUAGAGCCCGUGAGCCACGACUACUGAGCCCAUGUGCCACAACUACUGAAGCCCGCGCACCUAGAGCCCGUGCUCCACAACAAGAGAAGCCACCGCAGUGAGAAGCCCGCGCACCGCAACGAAGAGUAGCCCCCGCUCGCCGCAACUAGAGAAAGCCCGCGUGCAGCAACGAAGACCCAACGCAGCCAAAAAUAAAAUAAAUAAAUAAAAAUAGCACACGUGAGUCAGCACAGCAGUGAGCUGGCACGCAGGGAAGGAUGAAAGGGGCUCUUUGGCCUUGCCUGAAAAUUUAAUUUUCAAUCACUAGGCUGUGUGAGUGGGUAGCUUAGAGACUGGGUAUUGAUUACUGCAGAAAAGGGACUUUGGGCAGAUUGGCUGUAUUACUUAGCAUUUGCUGUGGAACAAACGAACCGACUUAGCUGCUUUAAAAACAGUUAUGUAUUUCCCCACAGUUUCUGAGGGUCAGAAGGCCAGCACAGGGUGGCUGGGUCCUCUUCUCAGGGUCCCACCGGGCUGUAAUCAAGACGUUGGCUGGGUUGCGUUCUCAUCUGUAAGCAUCUGCUUCCAGGCCCCUUCGGGUGUUGGCAGAAUUACUUUUCUACAUUUGUAGGACUAAGGUCCAGUUUCCUUGCUGGCCACCCCAGGUCCCUGCCACACGGCCCCCUCCACCAGCGGUUCAGCACAUGGCUGUUUGCUGCUCCCCAGACUUUUAUGAACGCCUCACCUGAUUAGGCCAGGCCCACCCAGGAAGAUCUCUCUUUCAAUCAACUCAAAGUCAGCUGAUUUGGGGACCUUGAUUGCCUCUGAAAAAGCCCUUCACCUUUACCAAAUAAUGUCUCACCCACACUCAAGGGGGUUGCGCACGGUGUGUACACGAGGACAAUUCAGAAUUCGGGCCAUUUUGGGGGGACCUAGCAUGGGGUUUAGGGCGUGGGCUCUGGUGGGAGAAGUUGGGUCUGAACCUCAUCCCCAGUUCCUCCUCUUCGCCCUCGACAUCUCAAACGGGCGGCAGGGGGCUGGAUUCAGAACACAGGCCUCUCUUGGCCAUCAACAUUAAAAAUUUUUUUUCUCUUUUAAAGAAUUUGCAAUGUUUAAAAAUCAGGAGGGCUUCCCUGGUGGCGCAGUGGUUAAGAAGCCGCCUGCCAAUGCAGGGGACACGGGUUCAAGCCCUGGCCAGGGAGGAUCCCACAUGCCACAGAGCGGCUAAGCCCGUGCGCCACAACUACUGAGCUCGUAUGCCACAACUACUGAGCUCGCGCUCCACAACAAGAAAGGUCCCUGCUCACCGCAACUAGAGGAAGCCCACGCACAGCAACGAAGACCCAACGCAGCCAAAAGCCUAGGGGAGCAAAUGCACGCUGCCACCAGAGGGCGGAAAAACACCAACAACGCAGCAGUCGCUUUCACCCAGCACGAGAAACCUGCUUCCCACUCCUCUAAUUGGCUGGCGUUUUCCCAGAAUCCCCGAGGGCCCAGGUUGGAGAAAACGCAGCCCCCAACCCAGAGAACGACCCGAGCUGGUGGAGUCCUGUCCCUGCAAACGGUGUUUCCUGCCUUGGUUUCCUGCUUGGGACCAGCUGAGUGUCUGGAUAGCAAAGAGCCUCUGGCAUCUCGAGAGAACUCUAGAGACGUGGAGGUAAUAUUGGGGGGGCUCGUUGGCCAGGUCCCCACUAUGGGCACGUUGUCAGGUGGGAUUCGGAGCAAGGCAGGGUGGGGUGGGGCCCAGGGGCUUCUGAGAGAGACCCCAUGCACUCCUCUCUCCCUCCACAACCUGCUGGGGCUCCACGUGGCCGAAGGCCAAAGUCCACAGACAGCACAGUCUCCAAGCCAUUCGCUCAUUCAUUCAUUCAAGUCUCCAAGUGCUGGUCAGACCAGCGGCAGGAAAUCACAGCAGCCCACCUUUGUGUGCGCUUAGGGAAACCGUUCUAAAUCAUUGCGGUCUUUAGGCCUCGGAAAUAGAACCCACCCACUGCUCGCCCUCCGCGACCCCCACCCAGGCUGGAUUCCAGCACCCCUCCCCCAUCCCCCUACCAUCCCCCACCCCACAUCCUCCACCGCUUCCCCCACCUUCCCCCGCAAACAUUCCCUCCCCCUAUCCCCCCAUCCCCCCGCCAUUCCUCCAACAUAUACCCUACCCCACCCCAUCCACCCCUCCCGGACCCCCGCAGUCCACUCCCCCCGCCCCCGUCUCCCGGUGCCGCCCACGGCCUGUUCUCCCCGAAGCCGCCAGAGGACACUUGUGAGCAGCGAGCGGGGCGCGUCCCUGCUCUGCCAGCCGCGCUGGGGGCUCGCGCGUCCCUCCGGGUGAGAGCCGAGACCUCCGCGCCCCCGGGUCCUGCACGGCCUUCCCUGAGCUCCAGCCGCGUGGGCCUCCUUGUGGGUGUGUGCCCAACACACCCGUCCCGGCGCCUUUGCACAUGCCAGAACCCCCAGGUACACUCGUCCUCAAAUGCCCCUGCACGCGGUUCCUCCCCGCUGCGCGUCUUGCCCCCCGCCAUGUGCUAUUUGCUCAGUAAAUACUGCGUGAACAACUGCGCCCACGGAGGCUGCACCCUCAGCCUGUGAGUCAGGAACAGACGAGGACUCCCAGGCCCAGCGGGAAGCGCCGACAGGACCCCGUCACGCAGCCUGGCUGUCCGAGGCCCCUGGGGGGGCGCCAGGCGGCCACGGGCCGGGGGCUGGGGUGGGGAGGGGAGAGCUCCUCUCUGGGCUCAGGUCCCCUCCUGCGCCGACCUCACGGGGCGAAAUGAGGCCAUCUGGUCAAUUGCCCAGGUCCCGGCACACAGUAGGUGCUGAAUAAAUGUCUGCUGGCUGAUGCCCGGAGGAGGGGGCUCCCUAGGGCUGCCACCUGCCUGGCCUGGGUCUCCCCCUUGUCUGUUUAUGGGAGUCGGGUUUCCAGCCCGCAGCGGGGGGGCUGGGCAGUGGGGGCACCCCAGUGGCGCAGACCAGUGGUGGCGGGUUCUGAUGUGGAGUCCAGGUGACACAGCACUGGUCCCAGGGGCAGACCAAGGGGAAGCCUGGAAGCUGCUGGGAAAGAGAGGCGCUGUGACACCCCGCCCCCAGGCUUGGGUUCAAGCCCAGAUUCCCUCCUGCUAAGCUGGUCACUUUGGGUACCUUGCUCGCCCCCUCUUUGCCUCGGUCUCCUCAUUUGGAAGGUGGUUGGGUGGUCAUGAGGUGACUGUGCCAUAGGCUCCCAGAGCUUUGGUGCUGAAAAGAACGCACAGGAUGCUGGCCGACAUGGGCCAGCCCUUGGGAAGGACUCACUGCGAUCCGGACACCGUGCUUCUCAGUGUACAAGCCCCAGCUCGCGGGGUCCUGAGCAUUAUCAGCAAAGCGCUUUCGCUGUCCCCAUUGUUUAAAAAUUGAGGUAAAAGUCACAUAACAGAAAACUAACCCCUCACCACCUUAAAUAUACAAUUCAGUGUUUUUUUAGUGCAGUCACAAGGUUGCAUAACCACCACCUCUAUCUAAUUCCAGAACAUUCCAUCACCCCAAAAGGAGCCCCCGUCCCCAUCAGCACUCACACCCACCCCUUCCGCCAGCCCCUGACAAUGCUGAACCCACUCUGUGUCUGUGGAUCUGCCUGUUCUGGACGUUUCCCAUCAAUGGAAUCACACACUGUGUCCUUCUCCGUCUGGUUUCUCACACUGAGCAUCGUGUUCUCAAGGCCUGUCCACGUUGUAGUGAGUGUCAGUGCUUUUCUCCUUUUCAUGGCUGAGUGAUGUUCCUGUGUGUGGAGGGACCACAUUUGUGUAUCCAUCAACUGUUGAUGGACAUUUGGGUUGUUUCCACUCUGACUGUUAUGAAUCGUUCUCCUAUGAACAUGCGUGUAGGUUUGUGUGUGUGUAUGUAUGUAUACAUUUGGGCAUAUACCUAGGAGUGGAAUUGCUGGAUCAUACAGUAAUUUUAUGUUUAACUUUUUGAGGAACCGCUGCCUAUUUUCCACAGCUGUUGCACCAUUUUACAUCCCACCAGCCAUGGGCAAGCGUCUGAUUUCUGCAGUGGGAGCUGCUGCUUCUUUUUUUUAAUAAAUUUAUUUUUUUAAUUUAUUUUUGGCCGCGUUGGGUCUUUGUUGUUGCACGUGGGCUUUCUCCAGUUGUGGCGAGCGGGGGCUACUCUUUGUUGCGGUGAGCGGGCUUCUCGUUGCUGUGGCUUCUCUUUGUUGCAGAGCACGGGCUUCAGUAGUUGCAGCACACGGGCUCAGUAGUUGUGAUGCACGGGCUUAGCUGCUCCAUGACAUGUUGGAUCUUCCCAGACCAGGGAUUGAACCCGUGUCCCCUGCAUUGGCUGACAGAUUCUUAACCACUGCACCACCAGGGAAGCCCACUGGGAGCUUCUCAUAAAACGAAGCACCCAGCUGGGGAGGUGAGUGGCUCAAGAGGUGGCCUGGAGCUGGUGAGGACUCUUCCUGCCCCACAGGCUGACUGUGGGUCCCCAGGCCUGGUCUCUUCUCUCACCCUCAGGCUCCACAUCUGGACCACGCCAUCAGCCUGCCCCAUGUCUGGUAUCUCAUGGAUGAGGCAGGAAUUAGUAUGGAGAGGAGGAGAGUUGGCGAGGGAGGAGUCUGGGUCCCGGCUGUGUGGCUUGUAGCUUAGCUUCUCUGAGCUGCAGUUUCCUCCUCUGUAAAAUGCGACAAGAGGAAAACAGUCUGGACGUUCUUAAAAAAAUGAUCAUGUGGUCCAGCACUUCCACUCCUGGGUACGUGCCCCAAAGAACUGGAACAGGUAUGUAGACAAACCCUUGUACACACAUGUUCACAGCAGCACAGUGCACAACAGAGUGGACACAGCUCAGAUAUGCAUCAGCUGAUGACUGGAUACACACACUGUGGUCCAUCUGUACGAUG